ensembl:lncRNA
GAUGGCUUACAUAGGGAAUUCUGUUAAUACCCCCUUUAACCAUAAAUUAUAUAGUAAAAUAUAACACCAUAUAACAGGCUUUUACAUUACUUUCUCGUUACAAUUACUACAAUUACUAGUUUUUUUUUUUUUUUUUUAUUAUUAUUAUUAUUAUUAUAUAGUAAGCUGCCUGCUUAGGCAUGUGAGGCCCAAAAUUGGCUAGGCUGCCUUGACACUCACACAGUUUGUAAACAUCCAAAGUUCCGUAGCAUCAAAACGACUUUUGUUCUAAUAUAAUUUUCGGACAAGAUAGAAACAGGUGUUACAAGUGUUUAUACUCACCUAAUUUUUCAACUAUAUUACUUGCAUCGCGUCAGUCAACACCGCUUCGUCCGCGAACAGCGUAAACAUCUCGCGUAAUAACAUUUAAGAGGGUCAUUAUAGUUGCUAGACAUAAUGACUAUUACAAAUGCAGACAUUUAAACAACAAAAGAAGCGGCUAAAGGACAGGACGUUUCUGUUUGUCCUCCAAGGUCCUCAUAAACUAUGUAACCGAGUAGAGAGGAAUCAGAUAUACCCACUGAGCGGCGCUAUAGCCCAUGAAAAUGAUGUUUGUUAGAGAGCGCGCGGGAAAGAUCCAAGGUGACAGGAGAGCGAGGCACUUCACUGCUGCCACAGAUAAAGAACUGCAUCUGCCACCCCAUGAAAUUCAGGCGAGAGCUCUCCCAGUGGUGCGCUACAAGCUUGGAAGGAGGCAAAGAGACAUCUAUGCAGAGAAAAGGAGAAAUGUUAAGGCUAGUUCAUUAUCCGCUUGUAGCUCAUCCAUGCAAAUAGAUCACCGUGAUACUGUGGUUGUUAAUGACUUUCUCCUGUUUUCUCUAGGGUCUUCUCAUCUGAAACUCAACUGGCUGAAAAGCUUCUCGGCUACUUUUCUUUUUUCACCCAUCUACCUUUCGACCAAAGCAGUGAGUCCUUCUUCUUGUACUCUUUCACCUGCUGCCAUCAGUAGUAAUGUCCGAGAGCUGCGCAACCUCAAGAGCUUCGAUCAAAGAGCUCUUCGCUCUUAAUGGGCCGCAUCUCACAUCUGCCUACAGAUUGGGCUAUUUAGUCUUCUUUAAUUCCCCACUGUUUAGGUUGAAAACAUAUGUAUUUGCAAGGAAUACCAGACUGUUUUAUAAAGUACAAUUUCCAGUACACCACAGAAAGUAAAAAUAGUUUUACAUUCAGUCAAUGUAUUGCAAUGUAAAAUCUGUGGUUUACAAGCAAUACCUGUAUAAUGAUCUAUUGUGCAUUUUAGUUAUGCUGAUAUAAUUGCCAUAUUAACAUGAAUUAACAUUUACUCGACCUUUUUCCAGUAACCUCCAAUGUGACCUGACAGUGUUUAUUUAAACAACGGACACCUCGAGUUGCAUACACUUAGAAUGAAAUUAUGCCAUGUAGCUUCUAUAUUCAUGCACAUGUGUUUAUUUAAUAAAUAUAUUGGCUUAGUGUCUCAUUUAUUAAACAUUAUCAUGAAAUGACUAGAUGUACAGUAAUAUUAUAAAUUCAAAAAAUAACUACACUUUUAUGAUUAGUAUUUUUUUUUAAUACAUGUUGGUUUGAAAAUUGGCAUGUAUUAACAAAACAAUGACUUAAUCGUUUGCUUGUAGCAAUGGAUUUUCAUGCCAAGGCUUUUUAAAUGUAAAAAAGUGAUUGAUUUCUUGUUAGGGGACCUCACAAAAUACAUAUCAUAACAAUGUGCCCAGGGUGUUUUCAGUGUUCCAUAAUAUGAAAGGCAAGAAGAUACAAUUGCAGUCCAUCAUCUGUAUUUCCUCCUCAAAUAUGUGUUAUGACUCCUGAUACUCUUAAGGUUUGGAGAUGAAACAUUAACGAGAUUUGGCAGCCAGUGGGAGAUGAGUUCUGCAGAAGUGUUGUUUAUACAAUCCCAUGGAGAUACUCCCCAGACUCUGCCCUUGUGUUUGGCUGACCAGACGUCACCUGGGGCCGGCUUAGGAGGCCUGCCUGUCGGGUCAUGGAUUGGCUUGUUGUCUUGCAGGGUCCCUAGCGGUGUCUCUCACAUGCUGUACGUCUGAUCAUGUGCAGCUGGAUGGAAGGUUCCACAUGUACUUGGCCUCACCCUGAGGAACUGCGGGUCGGGGUGUCAAGGUGCAGCAGACCAUCCAAUGCUUCACGACUCGUUCUGGCCUGUUUGGAAGCCGAGCUGUGCUGAUCUAAGAGUUUCAUCCAAAUUAUGUAUUUCCCAUGUGUGUGCUAUAGCACAUAAACUCAGUGUUUUUAGGGGGCUGGUGCGAUGUGUUUUCCAGGCCUUUGUGCACUGUGCAUAGAUAAAGUAUAUGGUUUUUGGUAGGAAUUAAAACAGACUACCAAACUAUUUAAUUAAAAAAGUUUAUAACCAAAACAAUAUACACUACUGUUCAAAAGUUUGGAGUUGGUAAGAUUGUUUUUUGAAAUAAGUCACAUUUAAUAUUGAGAAACUGCAUUAUGAAUUAAAAAAAACUUAUUAAUAUAUUUUAGAUUUAUUAUUAUUAUUAUUAUUCAUGUAAUGGCAAAGCUGCUGCUGCUUAAUGUUUUUGUGGGAAACAUUGAUAUAUUUUUUCAGGAUACUUUAAUGAAUAGAAAAUUCAAACAGCAGUUUAUUUAUUUUUUAAAUAGAAAUGUUAUGUAA